rnacentral:rRNA from 1 species
GGCUCAGGACGAAUGCUGGCUGCGUGCUUAACACAUGCAAGUCGAACGGUGAAGGAGGGCUUGCCCUCCGGAUCAGUGGCGAACGGGUGAGUAACACGUGGGCAACCUGCCCCUCACUCUGGGAUAACACCGGGAAACCGGUGCUAAUACCGGAUACGACCAGGCGCGACAUCUCGCCUGGUGGAAAGAACUUCGGUGAGGGAUGGGCCCGCGACCUAUCAGCUUGUUGGUGAGGUAACGGCUCACCAAGGCGACGACGGGUAGCCGGCCUGAGAGGGCGACCGGCCACACUGGGACUGAGACACGGCCCAGACUCCUACGGGAGGCAGCAGUGGGGAAUAUUGCGCAAUGGGCGAAAGCCUGACGCAGCGACGCAGCGUGAGGGACGAAGGCCUUCGGGUUGUAAACCUCUUUCAGCGGGGACGAAGCGAAAGUGACGGUACCCGCAGAAGAAGCACCGGCUAACUACGUGCCAGCAGCCGCGGUAAUACGUAGGGUGCAAGCAUUGUCCGGAUUUAUUGGGCGUAAAGAGCUCGUAGGCGGCUUGUCACGUCGGGUGUGAAAACUUGGGGCUCAACCCCAAGCCUGCACUCGAUACGGGCUAGCUAGAGUGUUGCAGGGGAGACUGGAAUUCCUGGUGUAGCGGUGAAAUGCGCAAAUAUCAGGAGGAACACCGGUGGCGAAGGCGGGUCUCUGGGCAACUACUGACGCUGAGGAGCGAAAGCGUGGGGAGCGAACAGGAUUAGAUACCCUGGUAGUCCACGCCGUAAACGUUGGGCGCUAGGUGUGGGGAACCUUCCACGUUCUCCGUGCCGUAGCUAACGCAUUAAGCGCCCCGCCUGGGGAGUACGGCCGCAAGGCUAAAACU